rnacentral:rRNA from 1 species
CAGUCGCCGCGGUAAUACGGAGGGUGCAAGCGUUAAUCGGAAUUACUGGGCGUAAAGCGCACGCAGGCGGUCUGACAAGUCAGAUGUGAAAUCCCCGGGCUUAACCUGGGAACUGCAUUUGAAACUGUCAGACUGGAGUCUUGUAGAGGGGGGUAGAAUUCCAGGUGUAGCGGUGAAAUGCGUAGAGAUCUGGAGGAAUACCGGUGGCGAAGGCGGCCCCCUGGACAAAGACUGACGCUCAGGUGCGAAAGCGUGGGGAGCAAACAGGAUUAGAUACCCGUGUAGUCCCUGUCUCUUAUAC